GCAACAGGCCAUACUGCCCUGAACACGGCCGAUCUCGUUUGAUCUCAGAAGCUAAGCAGGGUCAGGCCUGGUUAGUACUUGGAUGGGAGAAGUAACAUCACCUCUGGGC
ensembl:rRNA 5S_rRNA 5S ribosomal RNA